CUUAGAGAGAGACUCGAUGAGAAUCGAGGGAAGUCGAGGCAAUAACAGGUCUGUGAUGCCCUUAGUUAUCCUAGGUCGCACGCGCCAUACAAUGUGGCGCACAACGAGUUUCCUAGGCCGAUAGAGAUGUCUCUUAGCCUGUGUUUGUGGGACCGAGGCAAUAUCAUUGCACACGGUAGUUUCGAUCAUGUGUCGUUGCUUAUUUGUGAUGCUGGUGGUUUUGUCUCAGCUAAGAGACACUGGGCAAUCUGAGAGAGCGCUACGUGACUGGGCUAGACUUUUGUAAUUGUUGGUCUUGAACGAGGAAUGCCUAGUAAUCGUAGGUCAUUAUCCUGCGAUGAUUAUGUCCCUGCCCUUUGUACACACCGCCCGUCGCUCCUGCCGUGGCUCGUGCCGGUGAAGAGGGGGAGGCAGCGUCAACGGAGUAACAUCUGAUUGUACGUGGAACCCCUCUGAACCUUCGCGAGUAGAGGAAGGAGAAGUCGUAACAAGGUUUUCGUAGGUGAACCUGCGAAAGGAUCAUUAUCGGCAAAUUCACAACACUACAACACUCUCUAUGAAGUGUGUAUGUAAAACUGGUCUUAUGGACUGUGUUCUUAGAAACAUCUGUCUAUAUUGUAACAAUGUUUGAUGUUGAUCUUCUCAACGUUAAAGCAUGCGCAGUGGACGGCUCGGUUCCCGUGUCGAUGAAGGACGUAGCGAAAUACGAAAGGUGUUGCGAAUUGCAAGAUUUCGUGAGUCAAUGAAUAUCCGAAUGCAUUGUCGUCCCUUCGCAGCUUCUGUUGCAAGGGGCGCGUCGGCAACAUCGGCUAAUUGUCGACCUUCGUAGUCUCUUUUUGCACUCUCUUACGAGGGAGUCUGCUGGAUUCUAUAAAGCAGUGGUUCAGUGAUCAAGCAUUCGCUGUUGCAUCUUUGAUGGCUGUGCUUGUGACGAUAACUUCUCACUAUCGACUAUUGAUCGAGAUCAACGACAGUAUUUGUGACUUGCAUACUCUAUAUGUGCUUGUCCUAUAGCAUUCAAUCGUUGAGAUUGAAGUGCCUUGAAACUGUGCUCGAUCGAGUAGUCAAUUCUGAACACACAUAUCUUCCUUUGACGAUGUUGUCGGCGAGGAAACCCGCUGAACUUAAGCAUAUCAAUAAGCGGAGGAAAAGAAACCAAUUUGGAUGCCCCUAGUAACGGCGAGUGAAAAGGGCUGCACCCAAACGUGAAAACGUGAUGUGUAUCA
rnacentral:rRNA from 1 species